rnacentral:rRNA from 1 species
AUUGAACGCUGGCGGCAGGCCUAACACAUGCAAGUCGAGCGGAUGAAGGGAGCUUGCUCCUGGAUUCAGCGGCGGACGGGUGAGUAAUGCCUAGGAAUCUGCCUGGUAGUGGGGGAUAACGUCCGGAAACGGGCGCUAAUACCGCAUACGUCCUGAGGGAGAAAGUGGGGGAUCUUCGGACCUCACGCUAUCAGAUGAGCCUAGGUCGGAUUAGCUAGUUGGUGGGGUAAAGGCCUACCAAGGCGACGAUCCGUAACUGGUCUGAGAGGAUGAUCAGUCACACUGGAAAUGAGACACGGUCCAGACGCCUACGGGAGGCAGCAGUGGGGAAUAUUGGACGAUGCGCUGAAGCCUGAUGCAGCCAGGCCGCGUGUGUGAAGAAGGUCUUCUGAGUGUAAAGCACAUGAAGUUGGGAGGAAAGGCAGUAAGUUAAUACCUGACUGUUUUGACGUUACCAACAGAAGAAGCACCGGCUAACUUCGUG